rnacentral:lncRNA from 1 species
UUCCAUCUGGGAGUUUGGGUUUAAUCUACACGAGGAGUGGGAAACGUGCCCACAACCGUUCUGCAAACUGUGAAGGGGCCUCCCCUCGGGCGGCCUGCAGGAGCUCCCCUCCGUCCUCCAAGGGCAGGCUGGCUCUCGCCAGGGACGCGGCUGCGAGGCCCGGGCUGCCUGGCCCCCUUUCCUUUCCCUUCCUCUCUCCUCCCCAACUGCUGCUCCCCGCAGGCCCAGUGAUUCUGUCUUGAGACUCAGACUGACCAGACUGGGGCCCACAAAGCAUGAUUGUUGGCACAUUAUUACAAUUCCCAUGUAUGAUUCCGAUGAGAACUGGAGAGAGCCGACAAAGGAAACAGACAACUACGCUGUUUUCAUGUUCGCUUCCUUCCUGGAGAAGAGGUUUCUAGUUUCUCUGCGGAUCACCAAGAGCUGUCACGUGCCAGGCAGCCAGCUGUCCCCAGCAGGUUCCACAGCCUGACAGGUGGCCCACCACUCCAGCACACGGCAACACCUGUUCUUCACGAGACUCUUUACCCAGGCCCUCUCCCGAAACUCAAGGGAAUUUUCUUCAACUCUGUGUAGAAGUCAUUCCAUUUUCCUUCACUAUGCAAGAAGAUAGUUCAUAUUUCAGAUCUCUGUUGGGCGUUGUUCGGGAGGCAAAGAUGGACGGGAUGUUUUUGAUCCCCUAGCAGAGAGAGAGGGUGGCUGUGGCCUGUAAGCAAUGAGACCACAGGGCAGCCCCCGCAGCUGCCCUCUGCUCAUUGAGCCGCCUGCUGUGCAGCUGGACAACACCAGGGCCUGCGUUAGACAGUGAACUUACUGCUGCGGAAGGCCACCCCUAACCUAAAAACCACACCGUCUCAGAUGGCGGGUUAACGCCAUCCAUAGCCUGUCUGAGACCAUUUGGGCAGCAAAGUCAAGACGACAGUAUUUAACUGAUUCUUUUUUUUAACUUUUAAGGGACUAGGUCAUUAAAAGAAAGGUCUUAUCUCAGAAUUUCAUUAUUUUAUCUAUGAUUAUUUGAAGAUACAAGUUUACAUAUUUAGAUAAGUUAGCCCCAGUGGCAUAAAUAAAAGAGCCAGUUACAGAUCCUGAACUAUGUUGAUCAUAAAGAGCACAGGACCAGCACUGUGGACUGUGAAAAGGCCGUGCACAGAAUGCCUUGGGAAGUUUGCCCUGAAUUUGGAAUCUAUAAAUGACUCUGUUUAUUAAAAGUGUAAUUAUAGUGGCUACACCACAGCAAUUCAGUAUUUCUAUAUGCUCAAAUGCAACUCAAAAUUCAGGUGUUACUGUGAGUUUGAACUAGGGCAAAAUGGUAACCUACAAUUUAAAAUAGAACGCAGCCAAGACAUGGUGAAAUGAAUCUCGAAGUUCUUCAUUAAAAGGCACCUUAAUGAAACUGAACUAGGCCACGGGGCAGAGGGAUUUCUAACUGUAAAAUGAGCCAACGCAGGUCAUCACAUUGACAAACAG